GAGUUGGACUGGAGCUGUCUGGCUGCACAGGACAGGGCACAUCCUUUAUGGCAGCACAAUAAGAUUCGCAGCGUGGAGGGGAGCCAGCUGAAGGCCUACCUUUCCUUAGAAGUGUUAGAUCUGAGUUUGAACAACAUCACGGAAGUGCGGAACACCUGCUUUCCACACGGACCGCCUAUAAAGGAGCUCAACCUGGCGGGCAAUCGGAUUGGCACCCUGGAAUUGGGAGCAUUUGAUGGUCUGUCACGGUCGCUGCUAACUCUUCGCCUGAGCAAAAACAGGAUCACCCAGCUUCCUGUAAGAGCAUUCAAGCUACCCAGGCUGACACAACUGGACCUCAAUCGGAAUCGGAUUCGGCUGAUAGAGGGCCUCACCUUCCAGGGGCUCAACAGCUUGGAGGUGCUGAAGCUUCAGCGAAACAACAUCAGCAAACUGACAGAUGGGGCCUUCUGGGGACUGUCCAAGAUGCAUGUGCUGCACCUGGAGUACAACAGCCUGGUAGAAGUGAACAGCGGCUCGCUCUACGGCCUCACGGCCCUGCAUCAGCUCCACCUCAGCAACAAUUCCAUCGCUCGCAUUCACCGCAAGGGCUGGAGCU
rnacentral:sRNA from 1 species